GAUUCCGGCUUAUCCCAUCUGAUCUCAAAGGUCUGGUUAAUCCUUAGAUAGGAGACCAACUGGGGACACCAGGUGCUGGAAGUU
ensembl:rRNA 5S_rRNA 5S ribosomal RNA